UGCGUAGACGGUCUGGUAAGUCGGAUGUGAAAUCCCCGGGCUCAACCUGGGAAUGGCAUUCGAGACUGUCAAGCUAGGGUGCGGAAGAGGGAAGCGGAAUUUCCGGUGUAGCGGUGAAAUGCGUAGAUAUCGGGAGGAACAUCAGUGGCGAAAGCGGCUUCCUGGUCCAGCACCGACGUUCAGGCACGAAAGCGUGGGGAGCAAACA
rnacentral:rRNA from 1 species